CCAAGCAUAUUAUCAUUGGUUUCCCUCCCCUUACUUAUAUUUCCCCCUCUGUUGGCAGUGAGGAGUGCUAAUUGAAAAUAUUGUUGUAUAAACAGAAAAUAUGGGAGAUCGAUAUAAUAUUCAUAGUCAGUUAGAACAUCUACAGUCCAAAUAUAUCGGAACUGGUCAUGCAGAUACGAACAAAUGGGAAUGGAUGACAAACCAACACAGAGACAGCAAUGCAUCUUACAUGGGACACAAUGACAUGUUGAACUAUUUUUCACUGGCAGAGAACGAAGCAAAAGCACGUGUACGAUUUAAUUUGAUGGAAAGAAUGUUGCAGCCUUGUGGGCCACCUCCUGAAAGACCAGAGGACUAAAAUACUAAUUCUAGUAACAAACAUUUAGUUACAAAAGGUUAAAAAGUGGAAAACGCAAUGAACGAUUUAUUUUACAUGUUUAUUGCAGAUAAAUUAUUAACCAAUAUCAACAGUAUGCAUUUAAAUGAAACGAAGGAAAUUUUCUGAAUUCUUCACAUUCACAUGUAACUUGGUUACAGGAACAUUAAUUUUGUAGAGCAGUUUAAUUUUAUAUCAUAUUUUCUAAAAUAAAUUUAUCCAAUGGCAAUGC
rnacentral:lncRNA from 1 species